GAACGCUGGCGGAAUGCUUUACACAUGCAAGUCGAACGGCAGCACGAGAGCUUGCUCUUGGUGGCGAGUGGCGAACGGGUGAGUAAUAUAUCGGAACGUAUCCAAUAAUGGGGGAUAACUAAUCGAAAGGUUAGCUAAUACCGCAUACGCCCUACGGGGGAAAGCAGGGGAUCUUCGGACCUUGCGUUAAUGGAGCGGCUGAUAUCUGAUUAGCUAGUAGGUGAGGUAAAGGCUCACCUAGGCUUCGAUCAGUAGCUGGUCUGAGAGGACGACCAGCCACACUGGAACUGAGACACGGUCCAGACUCCUACGGGAGGCAGCAGUGGGGAAUUUUGGACAAUGGGCGCAAGCCUGAUCCAGCCAUUCCGCGUGAGUGAAGAAGGCCUUCGGGUUGUAAAGCUCUUUCGCAAGGGAAGAAAACUUACACAAUAACACUGUGUGAGGCUGACGGUACCUUGAUAAGAAGCACCGGCUAACUACGUG
rnacentral:rRNA from 1 species